UACGUAGAGUAGCAAGGCGUUGUCCGGAAUUAGUUAGGGUCGUAAAGGGUACGCAGGCGGAGUAGUAAAGUCAAGCGUGAAAGGUGUCGGACUUAACCGACAGACUGCGUUUGAAACUGAUUAUCUUGAGUGUAACAGAGGAGAGUGGAAUUUCCUAGUGUAAGUGGUGAAAUACGUAGAUAUUAGGAAAGAACACCAGUGGCGAAGGCGACUCUCUGGGUUAACACUGACGCUGAGGUACGAAAGCUGGGGGAGCAAACGGGAUUAGAUACCCGUGUAGU
rnacentral:rRNA from 1 species